GUGUCAGCAGCCGCGGUAAUACGGAGGGUGCGAGCGUUGUCCGGAAUCACUGGGCGUAAAGGGCGCGUAGGCGGUUCGGUAAGCGUGCGGUGAAAGCCCGGGGCUCAACCCCGGGUCGGCCGUGCGGACUGCCAGACUGGAGCACUGUAGAGGCGGGUGGAAUUCCGGGUGUAGCGGUGGAAUGCGUAGAGAUCCGGAAGAACACCGGUGGCGAAGGCGGCCCGCUGGGCAGUGGCUGACGCUGAGGCGCGACAGCGUGGGGAGCAAACAGGAUUAGAAACCCUCGUAGUCC
rnacentral:rRNA from 1 species